rnacentral:rRNA from 1 species
UGAGUAACCUGCCCCUGACUCUGGGAUAACCCCCGGGGAAACCGGAGCUAAUACCGGAUACGAACCACUCAGGCAUCUGAGAGGUUGGAAAGAUUUAUCGGUCAGGGAUGGACUCGCGGCCUAUCAGCUUGUUGGUGGGGUAACGGCCCACCAAGGCGACGACGGGUAGCCGGCCUGAGAGGGCGACCGGCCACACUGGGACUGAGAUACGGCCCAGACUCCUACGGGAGGCAG